CAGAAGUUGUGGAAUUCAAUCCCUGUUGUGCACACAGUUGCGGCAAGUAGCAUGAGUAUAUUUAGAACUAACAGUUCCAAAGAAAGCAAUUGUGAAAUUCUUUCAGGCCAACUUGGCUACUCGAAUAAGCAAUUACUUUAAUGCUUCUUAGAGAAACUAGAGAAUUUUGUAUGCCAGAAUAUUCAGAAUCCAUCUUACAUACACAUCACGCAUCCAACUCACCAAGGCAAUAAUCUGAUUUUCCCAUGAGGAGUUCUG
rnacentral:misc_RNA from 1 species